AGGUAUAUGCAAAUGGGAUUCGUAACAUUGAUUUACACUUCAUAAUCCGUAAACUGGCAGCACCUGUAAUCUCUGUUCUGUUACUUUCCCUGUGUGUACCAUACAUCAUAGCUUCUGGUGUUGUUCCUUUGUUAGGAGUUACUGCUGAAAUGCAAAACCUAGUUCAGCGACGGAUUUAUCCUUUUCUGCUUAUGGUGGUGGUUUUGAUGGGAAUUCUCUCCUUCCAAGUCCGCCAGUUCAAGCGCCUUUAUGAACAUAUUAAAAAUGACAAGUACCUUGUUGGGCAACGACUUGUGAAUUACGAACGAAAGUCUGGUAAACAAGGCACAUCAACAACUCCACCUCAGUCUUCACAAGAAUAGAUGGUCAUGUUAAACGUCUUGACUUUCCCUUUGCCUUUACACAUCCUUUUUUCAUAGACUCUUCUUCAGUCUUUGGAUAUCUCUCCCAGUAAUACUCUCAGCAGUGUUUUGGCUUCUGUUAGUAGCAUCCAGAUAGCAGUUAAGACUCUGCUCCUUACCUGCAUUUUCUGAUGUUAUCAAUGCUGUCUGAGGUCUGUAUAUGUGUAAAUAGAAGUAUCCUGACACCCUAAAAACUUGGAUUAAAAAGAAUGUGCAUUGUACAUCUUUAAAAAGUAUAUUAAUUUAUUAAAUCUAGUUGUCACUUUAUUUUGGACUGCUGUUCUGUUGACAAUGUGCCACAAAGCAAUAGUGCGAAGAGGCAAGAUGUUUUUAUAAAAUUUGGAAAUUACUUUAUGGUGUUCAUAACAGUUCUUAUUGUAGUAAUAUAGUAUGAUUUUUCAUGAGUGGAAAGGCCACACGGAGAAUAUCAAAAGUAAAUAACUGUCUUAUAGUCAGCAAUGAAGUGGCUGUGGUGAGAACAUAAUGAACUAUGUAUCUUGCUGUCAAGUCUUUUUUAUUAUUUUGUAUAACACCAAAGCUGUUGUACAUUUUCUAUUGCCUGAUUGUUUUUCAUGUGUC